rnacentral:rRNA from 1 species
GACGGAGGGAGCAAGCGUUGUCCGGAUUUACUGGGCGUGAAGCGCGCGUAGGCGGUCCGCUAAGUCGGCCGUGAAAGCGCUGGGCUCAACCCAGCAGGGCCGGUCGAUACUGGCGGACUCGAGUCCGGGAGAGGGAAGUGGAAUUGCUGGUGUAGCGGUGGAAUGCGUAGAUAUCAGCAAGAACACCGGUGGCGAAGGCGGCUUCCUGGACCGGCACUGACGCUGAGGCGCGAAAGCCAGGGGAGCGAUCGGGAUUAGAUACCCCAGUA